GACGAACGCUGGCGGCGUGCUUAACACAUGCAAGUCGAACGAAGAGCGAUGGAAGCUUGCUUCUAUCAAUCUUAGUGGCGAACGGGUGAGUAACGCGUAAUCAACCUGCCCUUCAGAGGGGGACAACAGUUGGAAACGACUGCUAAUACCGCAUACGAUCUAAUCUCGGCAUCGAGGAUAGAUGAAAGGUGGCCUCUACAUGUAAGCUAUCACUGAAGGAGGGGAUUGCGUCUGAUUAGCUAGUUGGCGGGGUAACGGCCCACCAAGGCGAUGAUCAGUAGCCGGUCGGAGAGGAUGAACGGCCAAAUUGGGACGGAGACACGGCCCAGACGCCUACGGGAGGCAGCAGUGGGGAAUCUUCCGCAAUGGAAGAAAGUCUGACGGAGCAACGCCGCGUGAGUGAUGACGGCCUUCGGGUUGGAAAGCUCUGUUAAUCGGGACGAAAGGCCUUCUUGCGAAUAGGGAGAAGGAUUGACGGUACCGGAAUAGAAAGCCACGGCUAACUACGUG
rnacentral:rRNA from 1 species